rnacentral:rRNA from 1 species
GCAGGCUGCAACUCGCCUGCACGAAGUCGGAAUUGCUAGUAAUCGUAGGUCAGCAUGCUACGGUGAAUACGUUCCCGGGCCUUGUACACACCGCCCGUCAAACCAUGAGAGUUGGCAACACCCGAAGUCGGUAGUCUAACCGCAAGGAGGACGCCGCCGAAGGUGGGGUUGAUGAUUAGGGUGAAGUCGUAACAAGGUAAC